rnacentral:rRNA from 1 species
UACAGAGGUCCCAAGCGUUGUUCGGAAUUACUGGGCGUAAAGGGCUCGUAGGCGGCCAACUAAGUCGGACGUGAAAUCCCUCGGCUUAACCGGGGAACUGCGUCCGAUACUGGAUGGCUUGAGUUCGGGAGAGGGAUGCGGAAUUCCAGGUGUAGCGGUGAAAUGCGUAGAUAUCUGGAGGAACACCGGUGGCGAAGGCGGCAUCCUGGACCGACACUGACGCUGAGGAGCGAAAGCCAGGGAGCAAACGGG